ACUCCUACGGGAGGCAGCAGUGGGGAAUAUUGCACAAUGGGCGCAAGCCUGAUGCAGCGACGCCGCGUGAGGGAUGACGGCCUUCGGGUUGUAAACCUCUUUCAAUAGGGACGAAGCGCAAGUGACGGUACCUAUAGAAGAAGGACCGGCCAACUACGUGCCAGCAGCCGCGGUAAU
rnacentral:rRNA from 2 species